GAUGAACGCUGGCGGCGUGCCUAAUACAUGCAAGUCGAGCGAACGGACGAGAAGCUUGCUUCUCUGAUGUUAGCGGCGGACGGGUGAGUAACACGUGGAUAACCUACCUAUAAGACUGGGAUAGCUUCGGGAAACCGGAGCCAAUACCGGAUGAUAUUUUGAACCGCAUGGUUCAAAAGUGAAAGACGGUCUUGCUGUCACUUAUAGAUGGAUCCGCGCUGCAUUAGCUAGUUGGUAAGGUAACGGCUUACCAAGGCAACGAUGCAUAGCCGACCUGAGAGGGUGAUCGGCCACACUGGAACUGAGACACGGUCCAGACUCCUACGGGAGGCAGCAGUAGGGAAUCUUCCGCAAUGGGCGAAAGCCUGACGGAGCAACGCCGCGUGAGUGAUGAAGGUCUUCGGAUCGUAAAACUCUGUUAUUAGGGAAGAACAUAUGUGUAAGUAACUGUGCACAUCUUGACGGUACCUAAUCAGAAAGCCACGGCUAACUACGUG
rnacentral:rRNA from 1 species